GACGGAGGAUGCAAGCGUUAUCCGGAAUGCUUGGGCGUAAAGCGUCCGCAGGUGGCAGUUCAAGUCUGCUGUCAAAGACCGGGGCUUAACUUCGGAAAGGCAGUGGAAACUGAACAGCUAGAGUAUGGUAGGGGCAGAGGGAAUUCCUGGUGUAGCGGUGAAAUGCGUAGAGAUCAGGAAGAACAUCGGUGGCGAAGGCGCUCUGCUGGACCACAACUGACACUCAGGGACGAAAGCUAGGGGAGCGAAUGGG
rnacentral:rRNA from 1 species